CUCCAUUUUUAUUACUGAAGAUACGUGAGUGGGAGAUAGAGUUGGAAAAAGAUAGAAAAAGAGAAUGAAAGCAAUAUAGUGGCUGGAGGAGGAAAGAAAGAAGAAGAGGAAAAAAGUGACGGUGGUGAACAGAACAGCACAAAGCAUGGCAGUUGUAUGGCAUAAAUGGUUAAGGAAGAGCAUCCUAUCACCAUUUAGCUCAAGGGCAUUCAGUACCUUGAAGAGUAACCCCAGUCAACAAAUCAUAAAGUCUCCUCCUCUUCUUUCCCAUGACGUACCUGAUGUAUGGACUUCAAACUCCAUGCAUUGUGAUCCUCCAUCUAUAGGAGAAUGCUACAAUGAACGAAGAGCGAGAGUAAUUGAUGGGAAGUCGAUGGCUGCAAAAAUUAUAGCAGGAAUAGGUGGUGAAGUAAUCAGAAUGCAGGAGUCCAUUGGGAAAGUGCCUGGCCUGGCUGUAAUUUUGGUGGGUGAAAGAAAGGACUCUGAAACCUAUGUCCGUAACAAAAGAAAAGCUUGCGAAGAAGCUGGAAUCAACUUUGUGAUGACCAAACUGCUCAAUAAUUGUACAGAAGAUGAAGUUUGUGAGGCUUUGUUGAGGUAUAACGAGAAUCCCUCAGUUCAUGGUAUUCUCGUGCAGCUUCCUCUGCCACAUCAUUUGGACGAGGAGAAGAUUCUCAAUGUGUUGAACCUGGAAAAGGAUGUGGAUGGCUUUCAUCCAGUACACAUGGGGAAUCUAGCCAUGAGCGGAAGGGAGCCAUUGUUUAUUCCCUGCACUCCAAAAGGUUGCAUUGAGUUAUUGGUAAGGUCUGAUGUGGAAAUCAUGGGUAAGAAUGCUGUGGUGAUUGGGAGGAGUAACAUUGUAGGAUUGCCUGCAUCUUUGCUCUUGCAGAGGCACCAUGCGACGGUGAGCACUGUGCAUGCAUUCACAAAGAACCCAGAACACAUCACCUCCGAAGCUGACAUCGUGGUCACAGCAGCAGGAGUACCCAAUCUAGUCCGUGGCAAUUGGCUUAAGCCUGGUGCAGUUGUUAUUGACGUCGGAACCUAUCCUAUCGAGGAUCCCAGUUUCGAGCAAGGUUAUCGUCUUUUGGGAGAUGUUUGUUAUGAAGAAGCAGUAAUGGUAGCAUCGGCAAUCACCCCUGUGCCUGGAGGAGUGGGACCUAUGACAAUUGCUAUGCUCCUCUCCAACACUCUAGACUCCGCCAAGCGUGCCUACAACUUUGGUUGACACAUACUAGGUUCAGUAAUUUGGGAGUGAAGAUGACGACUCGAAUGGUGUUCGAUUGUGACAUUGUUUGGAGUAUAACUAGGUGAAAUCAGUCGUUUUCGAGGUAUAGGAUUGCAUAAUUAAGGUCUAUUCCCUGUUGCAUUUGCGAUUGUUGAUUAAGUGGUUCUUACACGAACUUGGGAAGGUUAUUGAUGGUAAGCGUCAGAUUACUUUUAUUUCUGAUCGUAAUCUUAGUCUAUUAGAAGCGAUGCCGAAGGUGUUCCCAUCAGUUCACCACGGUUAUUACUUACAACACUUGAAGAACAAUUUAAGAGACCGGAUGAAGGGAAUUGAUAAUGGAUUUAGGGACUACCUGGUUAGUAGUUUGGGUGACUGUGCUUACGAGCUAACUAUGGUGGGGUUCCAUGAAAAGCUUAAGAAAUUAAAAGAGGAGGAUAAACAACGAGCACAUAGUUUUUUCAAAGAGUUGGCACCUGAGCAUUGGGUAAAUUCAUACUUCAGGGGCAUGCGUUAUGGGGAGAUGACAUCUAAUGUGGUGGAGUCAUUUAAUAAUUGGAUUAAAAAAGCACGUAAUCUUCCUAUUACUCGAUUGGUGGACACAAUUCGUACUCAAUUGAUGCGACAACUGUUGGCGUGGCAUGACCAAGCAAACAAGUGGAAGGAAACAAUUUGUCCUACAUUUGAAACCUUGCUUCUUGAUACAUUCAACGACAACAGUUCUUGGCAAGUUAGCAAAGCCAGUGAAGAUGUAUUUGAGGUUCAUUCAAUACCAUCUGUUAUAGUUGGAAUUGGAAGGCGUACGUGUUCUUGUUUCCAAUGGCAGAUCAACGGAUUCUCAUGUGACCAUGCUAUUAUUGCUAUUCAGAAGAGCCGAUACAAUCUCAAUGAUUGUAUGGAACAUUACUUUCAUGUAGAGACGUAUCGUGUAGCAUAUUCGGUUACCAUAUUUUCCAUAUCGUCAAUGGAAAAGCCGCCUUUUCGAUCCCACAGACUUUACCAUAUAUCCACUAACUAUGAAAAGACCACUCGGCAGGUUGAAGAAGAAUAGAAUCCUAUCAAGGGGUGAGAAGCUGAAACAAAUAAGGUGAGGGAGAUGUGAUAAGUUGGGAAGUCACAAUCGAAAAUCAUGCAAAGAGCCGAUAUAGGGUGUAUAAUUUUCAUUUUAAUGUUGCGUUUUACGUGAGAUUCUUUUAUUGACGUUUGAAAUAAGAUUGCGUUGUGUUGGCAAACAUUGUGUUAAAAUAAGAUUACGUUGUGUUGGCAAACCUAAUAAUGCAUUGGCAAACAUAGUAUUUGAUUUGUGUUGUCUA